AAUACCUUUUAAUUUAGUCCAGAGAGGCUGAGAAAGGAAUAUAGUUGAAGUGCCCAUAGGGGCUUCUUUGUGCAAACUAUUUGACCUUUUGCCCUGGGCAAAAGGUCUUUUUUGUU
rfam:Veillonella parvula DSM 2008, complete genome.